GGAUAGUUGGUAGAGUCAGGCUUAUCACACUUGUUUAGCAAGUAAUCACGCAAUGUGAUUCACAGGUUCGAAUCCUGUACUAUCCU
rnacentral:tRNA from 1 species